rnacentral:rRNA from 1 species
GGGAGCUUGCUCCCUGAUUCAGCGGCGGACGGGUGAGUAAUGCCUAGGAAUCUGCCUAUUAGUGGGGGACAACGUUUCGAAAGGAACGCUAAUACCGCAUACGUCCUACGGGAGAAAGCAGGGGACCUUCGGGCCUUGCGCUAAUAGAUGAGCCUAGGUCGGAUUAGCUAGUUGGUGGGGUAAUGGCUCACCAAGGCGACGAUCCGUAACUGGUCUGAGAGGAUGAUCAGUCACACUGGAACUGAGACACGGUCCAGACUCCUACGGGAGGCAGCAGUGGGGAAUAUUGGACAAUGGGCGAAAGCCUGAUCCAGCCAUGCCGCGUGUGUGAAGAAGGUCUUCGGAUUGUAAAGCACUUUAAGUUGGGAGGAAGGGCAGUAAAUUAAUACUUUGCUGUUUUGACGUUACCGACAGAAUAAGCACCGGCUAACUCUGUGCCAGCAGCCGCGGUAAUACAGAGGGUGCAAGCGUUAAUCGGAAUUACUGGGCGUAAAGCGCGCGUAGGUGGUUUGUUAAGUUGGAUGUGAAAGCCCCGGGCUCAACCUGGGAACUGCAUCCAAAACUGGCAAGCUAGAGUACGGUAGAGGGUGGUGGAAUUUCCUGUGUAGCGGUGAAAUGCGUAGAUAUAGGAAGGAACACCAGUGGCGAAAGCGACCACCUGGACUGAUACUGACACUGAGGUGCGAAAGCGU